CAUCAUAUGUACUCAAACUGUUUUUACCAAGGAAAUCCCCAACCAUAGUGGGCUUGGAGCUGUGAGGGAAUUCGGAUUGGCCACCCGUUCUGAAAGUUUGGUUUUCUUCUAGUGAACUGGACAUCCUAUUAUUUACGUUGAGGUUUGGGUUUUUAAAUGUAAUAAGGCCGCUUAAUUAUUUUUGAUGGUUUUAAUAUGUAUUACUAAGAUAUGUAUUACUUAUUUUAACUGUUGAAAUUGGAUAGCUUUAGGGCGCGUUUUUUUUUAAAAAAAAACAA